rnacentral:sRNA from 1 species
GAAUAAACGGGUUGGAAGCGGUAUCCUUUUGCGGUCAGCCUGAGUGGGGUCGAAGGGCAGCAAAAGAUAUAGCGGACAGCCCGACCGAAC